rnacentral:rRNA from 1 species
GGACUACCCGGGUUUCUAAUCCCGUUUGCUCCCCUGGCCUUCGUGCCUCAGUGUCAGGAACUGCCCAGAGAUCCGCCUUCGCAACUGGUCUUCCUCACGAUAUCUACGCAUUUCACUGCUACACCGUGAAUUCCGAUCUCCUCUACAGUCCUCGAGUCACGCAGUAUCCGGUGCAAUUUCGGAGUUGAGCUCCGAGAUUUCACACCAGACUUGCAUCACCACCUACGCACCCUUUACGCCCAAUGAAUCCGAACAACGCUUGAGACCUCUGUAUUACCGCGGCUGCUGGCAC